CAACUACUCCCUCUAUCCCAAAUUUCUUGUCUUAGAUUUGUCUAGAUACGGAUGUAUCUAAUACUAAAAUGUGACUUGAUACAUCCGUGUCUAGACAAGUCUAAGACAAGAAUUUUGGGACGGAGGGAGUACUUU
rnacentral:pre_miRNA from 1 species